GGACAGGUCGCAUAGUCGUCGAUUGCACAGGUCUGUAAAACCUGAGACUUACCAUCCUCGGUGGUUCGAAUCCACCCCUGUCCACCA
rnacentral:tRNA from 1 species